AAAAAGUACGCGAUAAGAAGCCGCUCACUUAAAAUCUCCCCCCCACACACCCCGGCUUGUAUAUUAAAAUCAAUUUUCAGGAGGUUAGGAACAACGUAAUACCUGAUUCCAGUAAAAAACCACAAGCUUUGCAUGGAUGCAUGAAUGACACGCGGCGGGCGUUGAAAUAGGGACCGGGAGCUUGGCCCGGCCGCCAGUCAUCUAAGCCACCGCAGUGAGACAAGCCGCCGGAGUGAUUCAGGGAUGGACANGUUCCAGCUGGCUGUGGUCUGCCUGGUGUUUGCUGCAUUUGGGCAGGGUGAGGCCCUCAAAUGCAUGUCUGAGGACCAUUGCUGUGAUGAGAAUGAAAUCCACACCAUUGGAAGCCAUCUCACUAACGAAUCCAGACGCGAGCCAUUAUUUCAUUCCAAGAGUUGCCAAGCGACGUCUGAGGGAUCCAAUGCGCAGAGAUCCAUCUCGCCUUGGACAUACGUAGAAGAUUACAACUCUCAGCGUUACCCACGGCGCAUUCAAAGAGCCCAGUGCAGCUGCAGAAGUUGCUGCGUGUCCCUCCGUCACUGCAAGGAACGGGGCAACAAAAGAAACUACACGGGACUGGAAACGGGCGCNAACUCGGUCCCUGUCAUAUACCACACCUUCGUCUACGAGCGGAAGAGCUGUGCAAACAAAGCCAACAUGUUCUACUUACAGCAGCAGAAUUACGAGUUGCCCGUGGCUUGCAUAUGUGUCGUAGCAAAGGAGCAUGCCUCCAAUGGGCACCGAGGGGCACAGUGCCUGGCAGCAUAGCGCCUGCUUUGCGCAAAGUUCCCGGUGUCGCUUUGGGGUGUGGGGUGAAAACAUGCUGGUUUCCAGGAAGAAAGAAGACAGAAGAAGAGGGGCGCUGAGAAAUGAGGAGGGGUAAGAAAUACGAAAUUUAGAAGAAACUUUUGAGGGGCGAGGAGUCGACAUGUAACGAACAAAGGUUAAUAAACGAGUGUACCGCUUUGGGGAAUAAGAUGUA
rnacentral:lncRNA from 1 species